UUGAUUUAACAAUACUUUGUGGUAUAGUUUAUCAAUUGAUUAUUUUAUAUUGUUAAGUUUUUAUCAUUUUGGUGUCAUUUUCCGUGAGAAAAUAGAUAUCUGAAUUAAUUCACACACUCUGAAACAAUAUAUAAAGGGAGGUAACAAAAUAUGUUUCCAUUACAAUUUCAGUGGUAUUUUCGUAUAGUACGGCUAUUUUACUCUUCAAAAUGUCUACUUUUAACUGUAGUAAACGUGAACUAAUAGAAUCUUAUAUAGAAGGCGGUAAAACGACUGCGGCACUUUCGACAUAUUUGGAGGAAAAACAAGUAUCAGAAGACAAUGGUGCUAAUUCCUGCGGUGUCUGCAGGAAUCGGGGCCAAUAUAUGUUUUAUAAUUGGUAAAAUCCAACAGACUAUCAUCCCUGCGUUUAAUAGACGCUGGAAAGAAGCAGCACGCAAUAAGAAUAUAUUUUUAAAAAAUAACACAAAUUGGCUGGAUUCUGAAUAUUCCGUGACUAUACCUACAUCAGAAAACGUGUCAACAGACUCAACACCGUCUACUUCUUCUGGUAAACGAGGAAGACCGCGUGUGACAUAUGGAGAUUCUUCAGAUUCAAGCAAAAAAAGAAGAAACACUAUUUUGAUGAACGAAUAUGGUUUGGAGCACAUUCUGGGCGGAUAUCUUCAAGGAUUGCGUUCUAUGGGAGAAGGAACGGAAGCAAAACUAGUUGAAGAAUUAAGGUUGGCUGAUGCUGAAAAAAAGCUUUUCGUUUUGAAUCACUUUGAUAACGCAAAAAUAAUCAAAACGCUUACAGAUGAAGAAGCAUUCAGUGUUUACAUCGACUUAGAACUAACUAAAGCACAAUAUCUGUAUCUCAGGAACGUUACAGAUGAAAGAAACUGUCCAAUAUUUCCACCAUAUUACAAAAUACAACAAAUGAAACAGGAAUGCUAUCCACCAUCGUCAACAAUUGAAAUCACAAACACAUACGUGAAAAUAUUGAGAAUUCAAGAUCUAUUAGAUCACACUGCAGCUAGAAUCUUAUCUAUAGAAUACAGUUUACAAGAACGGACAAGAACAUUUACUAUUAUACAGCAAACGGGGUUGUGAUGGGUCAUCUGGACAAAGCCAGUAUAAACAAAAACUUCUAGAGGAGUCUGAGCUUAUUUCCGAUGCAAAUUUAUUUAUUACUUCUUUUGUGCCCAUCAGAUUAAUUGACGAGGAUUCAGGCGCCAUCAUAUGGCAAAAUCCAGUGCCUUCAUCUGUCCGUUUUUGUCGGCCUAUAUCUAUAGAAUUUUGCAAAGAAACACAAGAAAAAACGAAAUCUGUUGUUGAUGAUAUAAAAAAUCAAAUACAAAUUUUGCUUCAAACAAUAAUUAAUAAAGAAGGCGUGGGAGUUCAAGUCAAGCAUGAACUUUUUAUGACGAUGAUAGACGGAAAAGUGGCACAAGUUUUAACAGAUACGCCUUCUAGUUCCACAUGCACUGUCUGUGGAGCAACUCCCAGACAAAUGAAUGAUUUAACCAAAGUAACCGUUAGGCCUGAAAAUGAAAAUGCGUAUAUAAUCUAUCUUUCCAAACGUGGUCUGCUACAAGCCCGGAAAAAAAGAGGCUUAGGGAAGAAAAAAAGACUCAAGUACAAAAGCGAUUUCGUGAAGAGUUGGGUUUAAAUAUCGAUAAACCACGACAGGGGACGGGAAAUACCAAUGAUGGCAAUACUGCUAGGCGCUUUUUUUUACAAUUCUUCCUGUUCUGCUGAUAUCACAGGGGUUGACAUUGAUUUAAUUAAAAGACUAUACAUAGUGUUGCAAGCUUUAUCAUCUGGUAUAGUGGUAGACGGCAAGAAAUUUGGUAAUUAUACUCUAGAAACGGCAAGAUUACGUGAGCAAGUAUGGUUGGUAUUAUAUGCCAUCAUCUGUCCACAAAAUUUUAAUUCACGGAGAGAGUAUUAUAAACCAUUUUGCAGUAUUACCAAUUGGACAACUUUCCGAAGAUGCACAGGAAUCUCGUAAUAAGGAUUAUAAGAAAUUUCGACUACACCAUGCUCGGAAAUGUUCUCGAACAGCUACAAACGAAGAUGUGUUCCAUACAUUACUUUAUACUUCAGAUCCAUAUAUAUCUAGCAUAAGAAAAACAUAUACAAAAAGCGUAAAAGAGCUAGAUGAAGAUACUUUACACCUUCUUAAGGCUAAUGAACUGAUUUUAGAUCCUGAAGCUCACCAGGUGUAAAUGGGAAUGAACCUAACCAGAAACCCUAUUACAUAGCUAGUUAAAUUAACAAUAUUAAGAAAAUUUUGAUUCAUUUCUAUGUUUAGCAUAAUGUAUAGCUAUAGGUACUGUACCAUUUUUUAUUUUAUUUUAUCAUUAAUAUGAUAAGUUAUGUUAAUUGAGUAAUUAGUGUUAAGAAAUACAGGUAAGAUAAUAUAACUAAAAAUAUAAAUUUCAAUAAAUAUAUAGCAUUUUAAACGAU
rnacentral:lncRNA from 1 species